rnacentral:rRNA from 1 species
GGCAGGCAUCUAACGAGAACGAAAUGUGAAGGAGAAGGAUGGGGAUGCGUCUGAUUAGCUUGUUGGCGGGGUAACGGCCCACCAAGGCGACGAUCAGUAGGGGUUCUGAGAGGAAGGUCCCCCACAUUGGAACUGAGACACGGUCCAAACUCCUACGGGAGGCAGCAGUGAGGAAUAUUGGUCAAUGGACGGGAGUCUGAACCAGCCAAGUAGCGUGCAGGACGACGGCCCUCUGGGUUGUAAACUGCUUUUAGUUGGGAAUAAAAGGCGGUACGUGUACCGCGUAUUGUAUGUACCAUCAGAAAAAGGACCGGCUAAUUCCGUG